AGGAUAAUAGUUAAUUAUAACAUUUGGGUUGCAUUCAAAAAGUAUUGAUAUUUCAGUUUAUCUUA
rnacentral:tRNA from 1 species